rnacentral:rRNA from 1 species
GGUACCGUCAUGUACCCCCUGUAUUAGAGGAACUUUUUCGUUCCGUACAAAAGCAGUUUACAACCAGAAGGCCUUCAUCCUGCACGCGGCAGGGCUGGAUCAGGCUUUCGCCCAUUGUCCAAAAUUCCCCACUGCUGCCUCCCGUAAGAGUA